rnacentral:rRNA from 1 species
AUGUACCUUCAAACUGAACAAAAUGGUUUGUCUGACCCCAUGUGUGAGGAGAUUAUUUAUAUGAUGUGUGACCAUUUUUUGCAAGUUUUGUUUGAGGAAUCUUUUAUUCUUUUUGCAGUUGGUAAGACAUGGGUUGGACUUACUUCCGUCUUCAAUCUUUGUGCUAAAGUGAUUCAAGGCCCAGGGUUUGAUGUUACUUACACCCAUCGAAGGAGCGGGGAAGGAAGGGAACAACUCAGAGAAGAGGAGGAACAAGACUUGCCGUGCCAACCACCAACCACCACGGACCGAAGAUGUCGUCACUUAUUCGUUGGUGAAAAUGCUUCCAGGACGGAGAAGAUGAUGUCCCUUACUUGUUCUCUAGUGUGUAUACAAGUGAGACUUGUUCCUUUUACAAGGCCAUCACAUUUCUUCCUUGCGCGUAUAUGUUUUGCAUGCUAUAAACUUAUUAACGAUCUGUGA